GAUGAACGCUGGCGGCGUGCCUAAUACAUGCAAGUCGAGCGAACAGACGAGGAGCUUGCUCCUUCGACGUUAGCGGCGGACGGGUGAGUAACACGUAGGUAACCUACCUAUAAGACUGGGAUAACUUCGGGAAACCGGAGCUAAUACCGGAUAAUAUUUCGAACCGCAUGGUUCGAUUGUGAAAUAUGGCUUUGCUAUCACUUAUAGAUGGACCUGCGCCGUAUUAGCUAGUUGGUAAGGUAACGGCUUACCAAGGCAACGAUACGUAUCCGACCUGAGAGGGUGAUCGGCCACACUGGAACUGAGACACGGUCCAGACUCCUACGGGAGGCAGCAGUAGGGAAUCUUCCGCAAUGGGCGAAAGCCUGACGGAGCAACGCCGCGUGAGUGAUGAAGGUCUUCGGAUCGUAAAACUCUGUUAUUAGGGAAGAACAAACGUGUAAGUAACUGUGCACGUCUUGACGGUACCUAAUCAGAAAGCCACGGCUAACUACGUG
rnacentral:rRNA from 1 species